rnacentral:rRNA from 1 species
AGAGUUUGAUUAUGGCUCAGAGCGAACGCUGGCGGCGUACUUAACACAUGCAAGUCGAACGGGGAUCAACGGGUUAGCAAUAAUUCGAUGGUCCUAGUGGCGCACGGGUGAGUAACACGUGGGUGACCUGCCCUUGAGCUCGGGAUACCCCCUCGAAAGGGGGGCUAAUACCGGAUACGUUCCCCGGUUGAAAGAUCGGGGGGGAAAGGUGGCGCAAGCUGCCGCUCUUGGAGGGGCUCGCGGCCUAUCAGCUAGUUGGCGGGGUAACGGCCCACCAAGGCUAUGACGGGUAGCUGGUCUGAGAGGACGACCAGCCACACGGGGACUGAGACACGGCCCCGACUCCUACGGGAGGCAGCAGUGGGGAAUUUUCCGCAAUGGGCGAAAGCCUGACGGAGUGACGCCGCGUGUGGGACGAAGGCCUUCGGGUCGUAAACCACUGUCAGUGGGGAAGAUGGGUGUCGGUGCUAAUACCGCCGGCAUCUGACGGUACCUGCAGAGGAAGCCCCGGCCAACUCUGUGCCAGCAGCCGCGGUAAU